AGAUUCCCUGAGGUCCAAUACAAUUCUGUUUCUGUCGUGUGCUGCUUUGGCUAUCAGUCUGAUUGUUAUAGCCAUACUGAUGUACACUGUGCAGAACAAAAAGUGCAAUGGUUGUAAUGCUGUUGCUGCUGCCCUGCAAACAAAUGCUGCAACAACCACUGGUGAUCAACAAAGUCAGCAGACAGAUGAAGACACAUUGGUUUAUUCUGUGGCAAACUUCAACAGACGGAAAUGUGGCAGGAAUGUAAAUAGAAGUGCAAAUACAUUCGAGGGAGAGAGCAUCUACACAGAUGUCAGGGUUUUGGGGUAGGAACAGAAACAUGUACAACAAAGUUCCUAAUUGAUUUUUGUUUAAUGUGUGCAUGGUACACCAUGCUGCAGAUAUUUAGCAGGAUGUUUUCUGCUGUAUGGAAUGAAAUAAAAAUUAGUUCCUGUACACAUUUGGACCAGAUCUUUAAAUUUAUUGAAAUUUAUUUUUUUUUUCUUACUGUAUAGUUUAAGCCAGCAUUGAUAUGUAUGAUAGGGGCUGCAUUGCAAGGUCACUUUGAAAUGUGUUUCCAAUCCUGCCUGUCUCUUUUGUAUGUAAUAGGAAUAUUAAGCUCUUACGUGGAAAGUUUAUUUUCAAGCUUUCUAUAUGAUAACAUUCUUGGACAAAUAAAUGACAAAUGGAAUUAAAGAUUCAAGUCUUAUAAACCUGACCUUCA